AUGACCUUCUCUGCUUCGUAUGACAAUUCUUUUUGCCAAUUUGCAGGUCUUUGUUCAUUCCAGGUUUCAGAAUUUCAUUUAAUCAUUCACACGCCUAUUUUGGAGACAGGCAAAGUUAAGUGCUCAGUGAAAGGCAAUGCUUCAGAUGGAGGACGAUGUGGAUGGCACUGGAUUUCGUGGCAGAAGGAAAGAGUGCAGGAGAUUACUCCCCAGUUCACUUGAUUUUUACCUGAUGAUUUACAAGGAAUGUUGUAUAUUUGCAAAAGAAGCCUUUGUCCACUUUUCUGUAUAAAUUUGAUUUACUGAUUGCAAAGAUUAUAGUCUUUCUUUCUCUUCUAAGUAGAAUGACAAGACUUUCCAUCAUGCUAUUUUCAUUAGGGUGACAGCCUUUCAAUCCACACAUCUCUGACAUUUUUGACAAUGGUACUUGGCUGCCAACAAAAUAUUUUGCUACCUUUUUCUGGUUAAAAUUGGAGAUUCAAGCUGUGCAAUUUUUUGUUUUCCUUUUCCUCCCCCUGACUUUCUCUUUUGGCAGCUUAAAAUCUGUCUUAAUUGCUAAUUAUCCUUUACUAUUUGUAGUCUAUUAUUUCAUAAUAUCCUGAAAUGCACAGAAAAAUGUUAAGGUUUUGAUAGGUUUCGUUGCUGUAUCUUUUAUUUCAUAUAAAGAAUUAACUCCUGGAAAAACUAUACACUAAAUCUUAAACUUCUUGAAGAACAUUGCAAGUGGUUCAGUGAAAUUGGAUGUAGCAGAAGGUAUGCUAUUUAUGAGCUUCAAACGAACCACAAUAAAAUAUCUGAGCUUGAAUGAGCA
ensembl:lncRNA